rnacentral:rRNA from 2 species
UAUAGUGUCUUGGCCAAAUCUUGUGCCAGCAGUCGCGGUAAGACAAGAGAGACUAGCGUUUUUCAUCUUUAUUAGGUUUAAAGGGUACCUAGACGGUUUAUCUAGCCUUGAUAAGGGAACAGAUUAAACUAGAGUUAAAUGUGGGAGGUAGAUUUAGUAUUGAAAGAGAAGAGAUGAAAUUUUUUUAUACUUUCGAGACUGAUAAUGGUGAAAACAAUCCUCUAUGUACUAACUGACGUUAAGGGACGAAGGCAUGGUUAUCGAAUAGGAUUAGAUACCCUAAUAGUCCAUGCAGAAAAUGAUGAAUGUCAUAAAUAUUAUAGCGCUUACAGCGUUUAAUGUUUAUAAAUGAAAGUGUAAGCAUUCCACCUCAAGAGUACUACGGCAACGUAUAAACUGAAAUCAUUAGACCGUUUCUGAAACCAGUAGUGAAGUAUGUUAUUUAAUUCGAUAACCCUCGAAGAACCUUACCUCAAUUUGAAUUAUAAUGUUAUAACAUUAUAACAAGCGUUGCACGGCUGUCUUCAGUUAAUGUCGUGAGAUCUGGUUAACCC